rnacentral:rRNA from 1 species
GGGUUGUGAGGUUAAGCGACUAAGCGUACACGGUGGAUGCCCGGCAGUCAGAGGCGAUGAAGGACGUGCUAAUCUGCGAUAAGCGUCGGUAAGGUGAUAUGAACCGUUAUAACCGGCGAUUUCCGAAUGGGGAAACCCAGUGUGAUUCGUCACACUAUCAUUAACUGAAUCCAUAGGUUAAUGAGGCGAACCGGGGGAACUGAAACAUCUAAGUACCCCGAGGAAAAGAAAUCAACCGAGAUUCCCCAGUAGCGGCGAGCGAACGGGGAGCAGCCCAGAGCCUGAAUCAGUGUGUGUGUUAGUGGAAGCGUCUGGAAAGGCGCGCGAUACAGGGUGACAGCCCCGUACACAAAAAUGCACAUGCUGUGAGCUCGAUGAGUAGGGCGGACACGUGGUAUCCUGUCUGAAUAUGGGGGACCAUCCUCCAAGGCUAAAUACUCCUGACUGACCGAUAGUGAACCAGUACCGUGAGGGAAAGGCGAAAAGAACCCCGGCGAGGGGAGUGAAAAAGAACCUGAAACCGUGUACGUACAAGCAGUGGGAGCACGCUUAGGCGUGUGACUGCGUACCUUUUGUAUAAUGGGUCAGCGACUUAUAUUCUGUAGCAAGGUUAACCGAAUAGGGGAGCCGAAGGGAAACCGAGUCUUAACUGGGCGUUAAGUUGCAGGGUAUAGACCCGAAACCCGGUGAUCUAGCCAUGGGCAGGUUGAAGGUUGGGUAACACUAACUGGAGGACCGAACCGACUAAUGUUGAAAAAUUAGCGGAUGACUUGUGGCUGGGGUGAAAGGCCAAUCAAACCGGGAGAUAGCUGGUUCUCCCCGAAAGCUAUUUAGGUAGCGCCUCGUGAAUUCAUCUCCGGGGGUAGAGCACUGUUUCGGCAAGGGGUCAUCCGACUUACCAACCCGAUGCAAACUGCGAAUACCGGAGAAUGUUAUCACGGGAGACACACGGCGGGUGCUAACGUCUGUCGUGAAGAGGGAAACAACCCAGACCGCCAGCUAAGGUCCCAAAGUCAUGGUUAAGUGGGAAACGAUGUGGGAAGGCCCAGACAGCCGGGAUGUUGGCUUAGAAGCAGCCAUCAUUUAAAGAAAGCGUAAUAGCUCACUGGUCGAGUCGGCCUGCGCGGAAGAUGUAACGGGGCUAAACCAUGCACCGAAGCUGCGGCAGCGACGCUUAUGCGUUGUUGGGUAGGGGAGCGUUCUGUAAGCCUGUGAAGGUGUGCUGUGAGGCAUGCUGGAGGUAUCAGAAGUGCGAAUGCUGACAUAAGUAACGAUAAAGCGGGUGAAAAGCCCGCUCGCCGGAAGACCAAGGGUUCCUGUCCAACGUUAAUCGGGGCAGGGUGAGUCGACCCCUAAGGCGAGGCCGAAAGGCGUAGUCGAUGGGAAACAGGUUAAUAUUCCUGUACUUGGUGUUACUGCGAAGGGGGACGGAGAAGGCUAUGUUGGCCGGGCGACGGUUGUCCCGGUUUAAGCGUGUAGGCUGGUUUUCCGGCAAAUCCGGAAAAUCAAGGCUGAGGCGUGAUGACGAGGCACUACGGUGCUGAAGCAACAAAUGCCCUGCUUCCGGGAAAAGCCUCUAAGCAUCAGGUAACAUCAAAUCGUACCCCAAACCGACACAGGUGGUCAGGUAGAGAAUACCAAGGCGCUUGAGAGAACUCGGGUGAAGGAACUAGGCAAAAUGGUGCCGUAACUUCGGGAGAAGGCACGCUGAUAUGUAGGUGAAGUCCCUCGCGGAUGGAGCUGAAAUCAGUCGAAGAUACCAGCUGGCUGCAACUGUUUAUUAAAAACACAGCACUGUGCAAACACGAAAGUGGACGUAUACGGUGUGACGCCUGCCCGGUGCCGGAAGGUUAAUUGAUGGGGUCAGCGCAAGCGAAGCUCUUGAUCGAAGCCCCGGUAAACGGCGGUAGUAGUAACUAUAACGGUCCUAAGGUAGCGAAAUUCCUUGUCGGGUAAGUUCCGACCUGCACGAAUGGCGUAAUGAUGGCGGGCUGUCUCCACCCGAGACUCAGUGAAAUUGAACUCGCUGUGAAGAUGCAGUGUACGGCAAGACGGAAAGACCCCGUGAACCUUUACUAUAGCUUGACACUGAACAUUGAGCCUUGAUGUGUAGGAUAGGUGGGAGGCUUAGAAGUGUGGACGCCAGUCUGCAUGGAGCCGACCUUGAAAUACCACCACCUUUAAUGUUUGAUGUUCUAACGUUGACCCGUAAUCCGGGUUGCGGACAGUGUCUGGUGGGUAGUUUGACUGGGGCGGUCUCCUCCUAAAGAGUAACGGAGGAGCACGAAGGUUGGCUAAUCUGGUCGGACAUCAGGAGGUUAGUGCAAUGGCAUAAGCCAGCUUGACUGCGAGCGUGACGGCGCGAGCAGGUGCGAGGCAGGUCAUAGUGAUCCGGUGGUUCUGAAUGGAAGGGCCAUCGCUCAACGGAUAAAAGGUACUCCGGGGAUAACAGGCUGAUACCGCCCAAGAGUUCAUAUCGACGGCGGUGUUUGGCACCUCGAUGUCGGCUCAUCACAUCCCACGGGGCUGAAGUAGGUCCCAAGGGUAUGGCUGUUCGCCAUUUAAAGUGGUACGCGAGCUGGGUUUAGAACGUCGUGAGACAGUUCGGUCCCUAUCUGCCGUGGGCGCUGGAGAACUGAGGGGGCUGCUCCUAGUACGAGAGGACCGGAGUGGACGCAUCACUGGUGUUCGGGUUGUCAUGCCAAUGGCACUGCCCGGUAGCUAAAUGCGGAAGAGAUAAGUGCUGAAAGCAUCUAAGCACGAAACUUGCCCCGAGAUGAGUUCUCCCUGACUCCUUGAGAGUCCUGGAAGGAACGUUGAAGACGACGACGUUGAUAGGCCGGGUGUGUAAGCGCAGCGAUGCGUUGAGCUAACCGGUACUAAUGAACCGUGAGGCUUAACCUUACAACGCCGAAGCUGUUUGG